AGUGAACGCUGGCGGUAGGCCUAACACAUGCAAGUCGAACGGCAGCACAGUAAGAGCUUGCUCUUACGGGUGGCGAGUGGCGGACGGGUGAGGAAUACAUCGGAAUCUACUUUUUCGUGGGGGAUAACGUAGGGAAACUUACGCUAAUACCGCAUACGACCUACGGGUGAAAGCAGGGGAUCUUCGGACCUUGCGCGAUUGAAUGAGCCGAUGUCGGAUUAGCUAGUUGGCGGGGUAAAGGCCCACCAAGGCGACGAUCCGUAGCUGGUCUGAGAGGAUGAACAGGCACACUGGAACUGAGACAAGGUCCAGACUCCUACGGGAGGGAACAGUGGGGAAUAUUGGACAAUGGGCGGAAGCCUGAUCCAGCCAUACCGCGUGGGUGAAGAAGGCCUUCGGGUUGUAAAGCCCUUUUGUUGGGAAAGAAAAGCAGCAGGGUAAAACCCCGCUGGUCUGACGGUACCCAAAGAAUAAGCACCGGCUAACUUCGUG
rnacentral:rRNA from 1 species